GACGAACGCUGGCGGCGUGCCUAAUACAUGCAAGUCGAGCGGACAGAAGGGAGCUUGCUCCCGGAUGUUAGCGGCGGACGGGUGAGUAACACGUGGGUAACCUGCCUGUAAGACUGGGAUAACUCCGGGAAACCGGAGCUAAUACCGGAUAGUUCCUUGAACCGCAUGGUUCAAGGAUGAAAGACGGUUUCGGCUGUCACUUACAGAUGGACCCGCGGCGCAUUAGCUAGUUGGUGAGGUAACGGCUCACCAAGGCGACGAUGCGUAGCCGACCUGAGAGGGUGAUCGGCCAGACUGGGACUGAGACACGGCCCGGACUCCUACGGGGGGCAGCAGUAGGGAAUCUUCCGCAAUGGACGAAAGUCUGACGGAGCAACGCCGCGUGAGUGAUGAAGGUUUUCGGAUCGUAAAGCUCUGUUGUUAGGGAAGAACAAGUGCAAAAGUAACUGCUUGCACCAUGACGGUACCUAACCAGAAAGCCACGGCUAACUACGUGCCAGCAGCCGCGGUAAUAC
rnacentral:rRNA from 1 species